GAUGAACGCUGGCGGCGUGCCUAAUACAUGCAAGUCGAGCGAACGGACGAGAAGCUUGCUUCUCUGAUGUUAGCGGCGGACGGGUGAGUAACACGUGGAUAACCUACCUAUAAGACUGGGAUAACUUCGGGAAACCGGAGCUAAUACCGGAUAAUAUUUUGAACCGCAUGGUUCAAAAGUGAAAGACGGUCUUGCUGACACUUAUAGCUGGCUCCGCGCUGCAUUAGCUAGUUGGUAAGGUAACGGCUUACGAAGGCAACGAUGCAUAGCCGACCUGGGAGGGUGAUCGGCCACACUGGAACUGAGACACGGUCCAGACUCCUACGGGAGGCAGCAGUAGGGAAUCUUCCGCAAUGGGCGAAAGACUGACGGAGCAACGCCGCGUGGGUGAUGAAGGUCUUCGGAUCGUAAAACUCUGUUAUUAUGGAAGAACAUAUGUGUAAGUAACUGUGCACAUCUUGACGGUACCUAAUCAGAAAGCCACGGCUAACUACGUG
rnacentral:rRNA from 1 species